AUUAUUUUAAUUAUUUAUUUAAUUUAUUAAAAAUAAUUAUAUAGAGGUUUGUUUUAGUAUCUUUUUUUAAAAAAUAAUUUAAAUUAUAGUUUAAUAGUAUUUUUAAAGAAAAUUGAAAUAAAUUGAAAAAUUUUUGAAGUAAAAGAAGAUUUAGUUUAUUGUACCUUGUGUAUCAGGGUUUAUUAAUUAAUAGUUAAUAAUUUAAUUUUCUCGAUUUCAAAAGAGUUAAUAUAUUAUAAGAGUUAAUGUUAUAAAAUUAUUUUUAAUAGUAUAUUGGAAAUGAAAUGUUAUUCGAUUUUGAAGGUAUCUAGUUUUUUAAGAAAUAAAUUUAAUUUAGAAAUUUUUUAUUAUUUAGUUUAAUUUAAUUAAUUGAAUAAUUAGUUAAAUUUUAUAUUUUAUGGGAUAAGCUAUAAAAUAAAAUUUUAAAAAUAAAUAAUGAUAAUAAUAAAUAUAAACUUAGAAAUAGUUAUUAUUAUUAAAAUUGUUAUAAUUUAUUUUUUUUUGUACAUUAUUUAAUUAAAUUUUAAAUUUUUAUUAAAAUAUUUAUUUUAAUUUUAAAAAUAAAAAAAUAAUGAUAAAAUUAGUAUAUAAUUAUGUAUAUAAUAAUUUUUGUGAAAAGUUUUUAUAAAGAAUUCGGCAAAUUAGUAUUCGCUUGUUUAACAAAAACAUGUCUUUUUGAAUUUUUUAAAAAGUUUGACCUGCCCAAUGAAGUUUAAAUGGCCGCAGUAUAUUAACUGUGCAAAGGUAGCAUAAUCAUUAGUCUUUUAAUUGAAGGCUUGUAUGAAUGGUUGGACGAGAUAUUAACUGUUUCAUUUAUAUUGAUAUUAAAAUUUUAUUUUUUAGUUAAAAAGCUAAAAUAAAUUUAAAAGACGAGAAGACCCUAUAAAUCUUUAUAUAUAUAUAAUUUAUAAAAAAAUUUUUGUUAUUAAUAUAUUUUGUUGGGGUGAUUGUAAAAUUUAAAAAACUUUUUCUUUUUAUUUUCAUUAAUUUAUGAAUAUUUGAUCCGUUAUUAAUGAUUAAAAAAAUAAGUUACUUUAGGGAUAACAGCGUAAUUUUUUUGGAGAGUUCAUAUUAAUAAAAAAGAUUGCGACCUCGAUGUUGGAUUAAGAGAUAAAUUUAGGGGUAGUAGCUUAAAUUUUAAGUCUGUUCGACUUUUAAAUUCUUACAUGAUCUGAGUUCAAACCGGUGAAAGCCAGGUUGGUUUCUAUCUUUAAAAAGUAAAAGUAUUUUAGUACGAAAGGAAUAAAUAUUUAAUAAAUUAUUUAUUUUAUAAAUUGAAUAUAAUUAAUACUAUUUUGGCAGAUUAGUGCCU
rnacentral:rRNA from 1 species